AUUAGAGUUUGAUCAUGGCUCAGAGUGAACGCUGGCGGUAGGCCUAACACAUGCAAGUCGAACGGCAGCACAGGAGAGCUUGCUCUCUGGGUGGCGAGUGGCGGACGGGUGAGGAAUACAUCGGAAUCUACCUUUUCGUGGGGGAUAACGUAGGGAAACUUACGCUAAUACCGCAUACGACCUAUGGGUGAAAGUGGGGGACUGCAAGGCCUCACGCGAUUAGAUGAGCCGAUGUCCGAUUAGCUAGUUGGCGGGGUAAUGGCCCACCAAGGCGACGAUCGGUAGCUGGUCUGAGAGGAUGAUCAGCCACACUGGAACUGAGACACGGUCCAGACUCCUACGGGAGGCAGCAGUGGGGAAUAUUGGACAAUGGGCGCAAGCCUGAUCCAGCCAUACCGCGUGGAUGAAGAAGGCCUUCGGGUUGUAAAGCCCUUUUGUUGGGAAAGAAAUCCUGUCGAUUAAUACUCGGUGGGGAUGACGGUACCCAAAGAAUAAGCACCGGCUAACUUCGUGCCAGCAGCCGCGGUAAUAAU
rnacentral:rRNA from 1 species